rnacentral:pre_miRNA from 1 species
GACCUACUCCCUCCGUUCCUAAGUAUUUGUCUUUUUAAAGAUUUCACUACGGACUACAUACGGAUAUAUAUAUAGACACGAUUUAAAGUGUAGAUUCAUUCAUUUUGCUUCGUAUGUAGUCCAUAGUUGAAUCUUUAAAAAGACAAAUAUUUAGGAACGGAGGGAGUAAAUC